rnacentral:rRNA from 1 species
UACGUAGGGGGCUAGCGUUGUCCGGAAUCAUUGGGCGUAAAGCGCGUGUAGGCGGCCACGCAGGUCCGCUGUGAAAACUCGAGGCUCAACCUCGAGAUGUCGGUGGAAACCGCGUGGCUAGAGUCCGGAAGAGGAGAGUGGAAUUCCCGGUGUAGCGGUGAAAUGCGCAGAUAUCGGGAAGAACACCCAUGGCGAAGGCAGCUCUCUGGGACGGUACUGACGCUGAGACGCGAAAGCGUGGGGAGCGAACAGG